GAAGCGAAAGCAUNGGGGAGCGAAACAGGAUUUAGAUANCNUGGUAGUCCAUGCCGUNAACGUUGGGAACUAGGUGUGGGUNUCAUUCCACGAGAUCCGUGCCGCAGCUAACGCAUUAAGUUCCCCGCCUGGGGAGUACGGCCGCAAGGCUAACACUCAAAGGAAUUGNNCGGGGGCCCGCACAAGCGGCGGAGCAUGCGGAUUAAUUCGAUGCAACGCGANGAACCUUNCCAAGGCUUGACAUAUGCGAGAACGCGNCAGAGAUGUCGUUCUCUUUGGACACUCGUAUACAGGUGGUGCAUGGUUGUCGUCAGCUCGUGUCGUGAGAUGUUGGGUUAAGUCCCGCAACGAGCGCAACCCUCGUUCUAUGUUGCCAGCACGUGAUGGUGGGGACUCAUAGGAGACUGCCGGGGUCNACUCGGAGGAAGGUGGGGAUGACGUCAAAUCAUCAUGCCCCUUAUGUNUUGGGCUUCACGCAUGCUACAAUGGCCGGUACAAAGGGCUGNGAAACCGCGAGGUGGAGCGAAUCCCAAAAAACCGGUCUCAGUUCGGAUUGGGGUCNGCAACUCGACCCCAUGAAGUGCGGAGUCGNUAGUNAUCGCAGAUCNGCNACGCUGGCGGUGAAUACGUUCCCGGGCNUUGUACACACCGCCCGUCAAGUCA
rnacentral:rRNA from 1 species